ensembl:lncRNA
AAUGUGUCUGCCUGUGCUUGAUAUUGUUCUAUCAUGUUGGGUCCCCCUCCCCCAGGCACGGCAUUUGGAUUGGUUACAGAAUACGGCUGCUCAGCCAAUCCAGCGAAACCUUUCUCCUGCAACCCUAGCAACACCUGACAAUGGUCAUUGACAAAUGUUAAGAGAAAAAUCCCUGACAAAUCCAACCAGCCAUGAACGUGGUUUCUGUCGAGGGCAAACAGCUAGUCCUGCCCACAGAGCACUUUGCAUGGCCAGAGGACAUAGUGGUCUGUGCCAGACCUGCGAAAACAGAACCCGUUUGUGGAUGCCUACCUCAGUCUGCUGCCACUUAGGAGAAGCUGACUGUGGUUGACAAGUCAGUGUCAAGACAAAGACCUGGGGAUAUAUACAGCCAUUUGCACACACAGAAAUAACGCACACACAGAGAUAAAGCGAGGUAAGAGGAACAAAGGUGGAAUAAGGUGGGGAAGAGAAGGGAAAAGGAAACUUCGGGGACAGACAAGAACUGAAGAAUGUGCAACCCAAGAUGUUCAUUCAGUGCUUCCCACCCACAUCCCAGAGACGCUCUCCUUAUUAGCACCACCCCGAAGUGCCUGUCCUGAAUUUCAUUUUCCCUGGGGGUUAGGGGAGGGGUUGGCAGUCAGUUUAAUUCUGUAGAAUUAUAAAUUGAUAAAGGCCACAAGUCUUAGCCUUCCAGGGGAUACUGAUGCUUUUCAAAGGGGGGGCUCAUGAAGGUCCAAAAGAUCCAAAUCUAGAAGAGUUGAAUUGUACAUCGAGCGGAAUAUCUUCAGUCUGGAGAUAGAGCCUCGCUCAAACACAUUUUUAAGGGAGAUGGCCUCUGGAAACUCCUAAAGCCAGAAUUACAGGUCAGAAAAAGUAGUUGGAGUAGGUAAGGCAGGGAAGUGCAGGGGCGAGCCAGCCCUCAACUGCAGCAGGCUGGACGUCCAUGCAGAAACGAACCAGGAGUAGGUGUUAAAAUCUGACAUACCUGCCUUUCAGGGAAACUUUCUGGUGACAUAAGAUAUGGAAAAUUACAAUAAAGAGUAUUAUACAAUGUGUUCAAAACCAAGCCUUAUAUAGCCAUAUACAUGCACGUAGUUCUCAGAUUCUGAAAGAAAUUAAGCUAUUCUGAGAGGAGGUAAAAUUGUGGACAUUUGCUGAUUGAAGAAACAAAACAAUUUUCUUCCUUUCCCAGAUUUUUCAAGUUUGUCAGUUAUUACUGGUCAAGAGUUCUGUGGGUAUGAGCAACUAUCAACUACCAAGACUACGGACAACAACAAUAAAAAGCAACAUCCAAUGUUUAUUUAUUGCUCUGGAAGUUAAGAAAUUAAAAAAAAAUUUUAUGUACCUGUGAAACAGAGAAAGAAAAAUAUAAAAUUGACGAUGUAUAUAGUAUGAUUCUUUGUACCCCAAUGUGCCAGUGUGUCAGAAAAGGCCAGAGUGUGUGCAGGAGCUGAAGCUUGCUGAAGGAGCACAGAGGAAGGAGGUGAAGGUUCUCAUUUAGAGUGGACAACUCAUGUGCCACAGUUUGAACUUGACUUAGGGAUAAACCAAGAGCCCACAUCUGGGACAUGGCAUGUUUAUCUCUAAAGUAGCAGUGUGGAGGCGGAGGGAUUCCUGGCCAAGAACAAUGUCUGGCCCAUUCUAGGCACAAAAAUAAGUAUUUGUUGAUGACACAGAAGCCCUGCCUCCAAAUCAACAUUCUCACAACUCACCAAUACGAUCGAAGGAGGAAAACUCUAGAACCCCAAGAGAAACCCAUUCCCCCCCUCUUAAUCUCCAAGAGAUUAUUGUUUCCUAUUUCCAUGGUAACUAGAAGACCCAUAAUUGCCCAAAUUUGAGAGAGACUUCACAUGAAAGCCAGAAAAUAAAAAUUAACAAGAGACAAAUGUUAUAGACAGCAUUUUUGACAGUGCACAAGGUUUCUGAAAUUUGGGAAGGCUUGGGAUCACACAACGAUGUCCAGAAUAUAGCAGUGCCACUUCCUCCCAUGCUGCUAAACGUUCAUCGAGUAGAUUUUAUUCUUUUCUUCAAAGGAAAGGAGAGACCCAUGGGCCUUGACAGCAAUUUAGUGAAGGUAAGCUGUUCGAAAUUGCUCUCCUGGCAAGCUCUGAUGUUAGCCACAAUGCGGAGGCCAGGCUGGCCGAGGUGCCCCUGCUCCCUGCCUUCCAUGGACUGAACACGUAUUUAUUGAGCAUCUAUUUUCUCGGUAAUCUAUUCUACACACCACUGAACGAAAACUUACAACUCCGAUAAGAGCUAGGAGAAGUACAAGUCACUGCUAGAGUGUGUAAGAAGUGGAGCGGCCAGCCCGUCCUACGGAAGUGUGAUUAAGCUGAUUAGGAGGAAACUGGGCAGUGGUUUCUGGGCCUGGGGAGGGAGAGCAUUCCAGGCAGUGGGAACUCUUGGGCUGAGCCCCUCUGGAGGAAGUGAGCCUUGAGUGUUCAAGGAACUGAAAGCAGGCCUGAGCAGCCUGUGUUGGCAGAACCCCAGAGAGUGAGGGGAAUGAACUUGGGGCCAGGCCUGUUGGAGAUGUGAGCAGGAGCCAGGUCAUUCUCAGUGCAUAGCCUCGAGUCCGGCAGGGUGGGUUCAUGAAGGAUUCUAGUGUCUAUCUCUCCUCAUUCCAGGGUGAACUCAAGCUGGAGCAGGAAUGCAUGACAGGCCCUUCUUUGUGUGUGAUCUGGGAAUGGCAGCUUCUGGUUCAUCUGAAAUCCAUCAGAAUACUGCCGUAAAUUCCAGAUCUGAACCACCAAGUUUCAAAGGAUUAUAAUUUCAUGAAAU